UACGUAGGGUGCGAGCGUUGCCCGGAUUUAUUGGGCGUAAAGGGCGCGUAGGCGGCCACGCACGUCCGUUGUGAAAUCGCCCGGCUCAACUGGGCGGGGUCAGCGGAUACGGUAUGGCUCGAGCAAGCUAGGGGGCAAUGGAACUCCCGGUGUAGUGGUGGAAUGCGUAGAUAUCGGGAAGAACACCAGUGGCGAAGGCGGUUGCCUGGAGCUUUGCUGACGCUGAUGCGCGAAAGCGUGGGGAGCGAUCCGG
rnacentral:rRNA from 1 species